GGGUGUAGUGAAUCUAGAAGGAGGUAACAAGCUGGUAACAAUUUUGAAAGCAAUGAAGUCUGUCACUGAACUGAAUGGAGAUAUACUCACCACUACCUUUACCUUGGGUGAUGUUGUCUGCAAGAGAAUCAGUAAGAGAAUUUAGACAUGUCUGCUUUCCAUUUAUUUUUACUGUGUGAAAUUGGUACAAUAAAAUGUGGCUUGUUAAAAAAA